AUUGAACGCUGGCGGCAGGCCUAACACAUGCAAGUCGAGCGAGCGGCGGACGGGUGAGUAAUGUCUGGGAAACUGCCUGAUGGAGGGGGAUAACUACUGGAAACGGUAGCUAAUACCGCAUACCAUCAGAUGUGCCCAGAUGGGAUUAGCUAGUAGGUGGGGUAACGGCUCACCUAGGCGACGAUCCCUAGCUGGUCUGAGAGGAUUACCCGCCACACCGGAACCGAGACACGGUUCAGAAUCCUACGGGAGGCCGCAGGGGGGAAUAAUGCACAAUUGGCGCAAGCCUGAGACAGCCAUGGCGCGUGUGGGAAGAAGGCCCUCGGGUUGUAAAGAAAUUUCAGCGGGGAGGCGUUACCCGCAGAAGAAGCACCGGCUAACUCCGUGCCAGCAGCCGCGGUAAUAC
rnacentral:rRNA from 1 species